CCUACGGGGUGCAGCAGUGGGGAAUAUUGCACAAUGGGGGAAACCCUGAUGCAGCGACGCCGCGUGAGUGAAGAAGCGUUUCGGCGCGUAAAGCUCUGUCAGCGGGGAAGAAACACGGUUCGCGAGAGCCGCGGACGGUACCCGACCAAGAAGCCCCGGCUAACUACGUGCCAGCAGCCGCGGUAAUACGUAGGGGGCAAGCGUUAUCCGGAUUCACUGGGUGUAAAGGGAGCGUAGACGGCGAGGCAAGUCUGGAGUGAAAGGCCGGGGCCCAACCCCGGGACUGCUCUGGAAACUAGUGAACUUGAGUGCAGGAGAGGUAAGCGGAAUUCCAAGUGUAGCGGUGAAAUGCGUAGAUAUUAGGAGGAACACCAGUGGCGAAGGCGGCUUACUGGACUGUAACUGACGUUGAGGCUCGAAAGCGUGGGGAGCAAACAGGAUUAGAUACCCGAGUAGUC
rnacentral:rRNA from 1 species